rnacentral:rRNA from 1 species
UACGUAGGGUGCGAGCGUUGUCCGGAAUUAUUGGGCGUAAAGGGGCUCGUAGGCGGUUUGUCGCGUCGGGAGUGAAAACUCAGGGCUUAACCCUGAGCCUGCUUCCGAUACGGGCAGACUAGAGGUAUGCAGGGGAGAACGGAAUUCCUGGUGUAGCGGUGAAAAUGCGCAGAUAUCAGGAGGAACACCGGUGGCGAAGGCGGUUCUCUGGGCAUUACCUGACGCUGAGGAGCGAAAGUGUGGGGAGCGAACAGG